rnacentral:rRNA from 1 species
UACAGAGGUCUCAAGCGUUGUCCGGAAUUAUUGGGCGUAAAGGGCUCGUAGGCGGUUUGUCGCGUCGGGAGUGAAAACACCGGGCUUAACUCGGUGCUUGCUUUCGAUACGGGCAGACUAGAGGUAUGCAGGGGAGAACGGAAUUCCUGGUGUAGCGGUGAAAUGCGCAGAUAUCAGGAGGAACACCGGUGGCGAAGGCGGUUCUCUGGGCCUUACCUGACGCUGAGGAGCGAAAGCGUGGGGAGCAAACAGG